rnacentral:lncRNA from 10 species
CUGCCUGACCCAUGGCACAGCCGCUAUGCCUCUUCAUGAUCUUGUCUUCCCCUAGCAAAUGCAGGGCACCUGGAAAGCCGCACAAGGAGAAAGCAGAACCGCUGUCUGCCUGGAUCCCUGGAGGACCACGUGUAAGAGAGUUGACUUGCUACCCUGGACACAAGUCAAGAAGUGUUCAUUGAAAAGGAAAUCAUUUUCUUAUUUUUUAAGACAUUAACAUUUCAAGAUCUGUGUGUAAUCUCUUCCUAGCGUACCACAGCGAUGACAGAACGUGGUAUACUGAAGUGCAGUAUCUGCAGCAUCAAAAAUCUAAAGUAGACGGCAUCGGCUUAGCGUUCGCUGAUAAGCACGGGACAAUGCCACACGCCACAUUCGGGAAAGAUGAAUCUGGGUGAAGCAGCGGAGGCAGCCACAGUGGAGGCUUGCGCUGUGCAGGGAAGAGCCAAACUACGAAUGUGUGAACUGCUUGCUCCUUGUCACAGCCCACAUUUACAAGAAAGAGGUCCCUGGACCAAGGGGAUCCAUAUUUGGACCUGAAAGAGGACUGAGCAUCUUCUGGAAAUCCUGAACAUUGAGCUGGAUGGGACCUUGGUUGUCUCUCCUGGUAAGCCUAUCCUGACAAAUUAGAACAUCAGAUUAUUCCCUUUGUAAACAUCACCCACUCAUCCAAAGAGGUGUUAUCAUUACGACCGUAUUGCUACUGUGUGUGUGAAAACACAUCUGUGAGAAGUGUCUACGGUGCACCUGACGGGGUAGGAGUCAAGGAAAUUUAAUUAUAAAACUUGUCAUGUCAACUGAACAUGAUGUAAACUGAUUGGAAACAAAUCCAGAUUUCUUUUGACAGGCUCUUUUAACUUGCUACGUGAGACCAAGGUAGAAGCAGUGUCCUGGAAAUGAAAAGCAGGUGCCUGGGACGCAAAGGAGGCUUUGAUUGGAGGUGGCUUCAAAGAGUGCUCUGCACAAAUGAUGCCCUGUUCUCUGCCCUGCUUUCUGUCCUCACAUUUAAACACUGAAUGCUUGGGUGGCACCUCUCGACCCAGAUAUGCCUUGACACAUGGGAAGGUGGCUCUUCAAAGUUACCGGGUCAAAAACAUCCAAUUCAAGGAGUGUCUGACACUGUUCUUUUAUUCAAUAUCGUUUUGGUGAAUUGAAUUGGUAAAGAAAGAAAAUAAUACUCAUGGACUUGAAUCCAAUCAGCUCUGUAUUGCAGCAAAAUAACUUUCCAGUUAAUCCGUUACCAUUUUGUGUGCUUGCCUCUGCCUGGAUUUGGCCAUAGACUUUACAAUCAGGGAUUUGGGGGGUUAUAUUUUAAUUAUGGCCAUAAAAUUAUUUAGUUUUUGGUUUUAGGAAAUAAAAAUAGCUUCAAGGUGAGUUUUGGCUGUCUCGACCUUUCAUGUGAGCUGUCCAAGGGAAAUAGACAACUUUCUGGAUUCACCUUAACAUCAUUCCUACUAGUCGUUAGCAUCUUUAGCAGACUUUCCUGAAACUUUGAAGUCAGUGUGUGUUUGUGCACACACACGUGUGUCUCUGUGUACAGACUGUGUCACAUUACUGUGGAGCAACAAUGCAAUUUAAAACAAAAAAUUGUGGCAGUUCUGGUUGUGGGUAAAAUGGAGUAAGCACACUCCACCCUGUCUCUCCCACUGAAGAAAGAAAGAAAAAAAAAAAACCACAGGCAGGAUGUAUGGAACAGCCAUUUGAUGAUUCAGAAAAGUAAACAGUAGCAGGCAGAUUGGAAAAUAAAUGUCAGUAUUAAAAGUACUGAAUACCGAAUUCAAUAUCACCUGCAGGCAUUGAGUUCCCCACUCUGGACUCCUGCACCCUGAACUCAGUACAUCCUGGAACCCCAAAGUGUCCACCUGAGUACAGACAGAGAGAACCCCAGGAGCACCGUCUAGUUAGACAAGGUGCUUAUGGAAACUCAGAAGGGUGAUGAAAUUGUUCACUUCCCCUUUUCUCUUUACGCUGUUCUCCCAUGCUCCCAAGCAAUACAGUGGUGGCAAGACAGCAGCUGCCACAGGAGUCCCUAGGAGCCAAAACUACCUAGGAGGGAUGCCUUCCUCUCCUGUGAAAGAAACUGUGCUCUCAGGAGGGUGGGGAAAACCCUCUUUGCUUUUCUUCUCUUUGUCUGCUCCUCCUGCUUGGCUUAAUCUGUGAGAGCAGUUGCAGGAAUGGGUGGUGGAGUGGGAUAACUGGCUGAGGAAUAAAGAGAAAGCUGAAAUGUACCAAGAAGCUUGUGGAGAGGCAGGAGCUUGGGAAAGUGACCUCAGGGCUGUUUGUCAAUGCCUGGACUCCUACUCAAGACGUGCCUAUGUAUAUCUGAUCUUAAAUGGUAUAUGUAGAUAUUGAGAACUGAGCUGUAAAAUAGUCUAUUCUUCAAAUAUCAGACUUGCUACUGGGUGCUGAACACAUGGAAUACAUUAAAUAGCUUUGCAAAAUUUUUGAAAAUGAAACUGAUCCUUGAGCCACAACCAACCAAAACCUGUUGGAACUGCAGGCCUGAAUUCAGCUGAGGCAAUUGCUAACGAAAACAAAAACAUCAACAUUUUUGAUGUUUAAAUAGGAUUUAAACACAACUCAGCUUAUCAUAAUGAAAUAUGCAGAACAUCCAGGAUAUAGCCCAAAAUUACUCAGUAUAAAAAGAACCAAGAAAAUCACAAUUUACAAGAAAAUAAACAACAGAUGGCAAUACUAUCAUGAAGCAGAUGUUGGACAUAUCUAACAAAAGCUGUAAAACAGCUAUUAUAAAUAUGCCCCAACAAGUAAGCAUAAACAUUCUUGAAACAAAUGGAAAAGAGGCAACCACAACAAAGAACCAGAAGAUAUAAAGAAGAACCAGAUAACAAUUUUAUAACUUAAAACGAUGAUAACCCAAGUUAUCCACUAAGUAGGAUCAAUAGGAGGCUGGAGAUGACCAAGAAUAGAGUAAUAGAAAUUAACCAAUGUGAAAAAGAGAGGAAAAAAAGAUUAAAAAGAAAAGACAUCUACAACCAAAAACAUGAUGAUAAAAAUGCCAACAUUUAAGAAUAAUAGAAAAAUAUUGAUAGCAUCCAGAGAAGAUGCAUGCAUUUCUUUUGGAAUAACAACAAUUUUAUUAACUGUGGAUUUAUAUUCAUAAAUUAUGAAAGGCAGAGGGAGGUGAAACAACAUGUUUAAAGUGCUGAAGAAGAGAACUAUUUAUGAAAAAUGUAAAUACAGUGAAAAUAUCAUUCAAGAAUAAGGUGAAAUCAAGCUAUCCUAAGGUGAAGGAAAACUGAGACUUUAUUUCUUGCAAACUUACUUUAAAAGAAUUUAUAAAGAAAGUUCUUCAGAAAAAAAAAUAAUGCCAGAAGAAAACUUGGAAACUCAGGAAUGAAAAAUUGGCAAUGAAAAUGAUAACUAACUGGCAAGAUACAAUAGACUAUUUUUUCUACUGAGUUAUUUAAACUAGGUUUGACAAUCAAAAGCAAAGUGGUACCAUUUUCUGAUAAGGGUUUCAAUGUAUGUAGAUGUAAUAGUAAGAUGAUUACAACAUAAAGGGGUGAGAGGAAAGAGACCUGUAUAUUAACAAGAUUUCCCCUUUCCACUUUAAGUGGCAAUUUUAAUAUCAGAUAAAUUAUACUUCACAACAAAGAAAACUCCCAGAGAUAAAGAGGAACAAAACAUAAUAAAAUAUCAACCCACCAAGAAUAUAUAACAUCAUAAACUUGAAUGCACCUAAUAAUAGGUCUUAAAAAUGCAUAAAGCAAAAACUGACAGAAAUGAAAUAAGAAAUAUACUGAUUUGGCUGGGCACUGUGACUCACACCUUUAAUCUCAGCACUUUAGGAGGCCAAGGUGGGCAGAUCACCUGAGGUCGGGAGUUCGAAACCAGCCUGACCAACAUGGAGAAACCCUGUCUCUACUAAAAAUACAAAAUUAGCCAUACAUGGUGGUGCAUGCCUGUAAUCCCAGCUACUCUGGAGGCUGAGGCAGGAGAAUCACCUGAACCCAGAAGGCAGAGGUUGCAAUGAGUGGAGAUGGUGCCAUUGCACUCCAGCCUGGGCAACAAGAGUAAAACUCCAUCUCAAAAAAAAAAACAAAAAAAAGAAAGAAAUAGACUGAUUCACACCGUUGGAGACUUCAAUACUCUUCUGUCAGUGGCAAAUAGUGCUAGUAAACAGAAGCUAAGUGAGCUCUAGAAGAAUGUAAAAACUCCAUCAACCAACUGAAUCUAAUUGUUAUGUAUAGAAUACUUCACUACUGGUGGCAGAAUAAACAUACUUUAAAGGGCACAAGGUGCAAAAUAAGCCAAAUCCUGGAUCAGAAAAAAUAAAUGUAUUUUUAAUUUAUCACAAAAUAGAUUUUAUUUAUCACAAAGCAUCUUCUGUAUCCAUAAUGGAAUUAGGCUAGAAAUGAAUAACGUAAGGUAAUAUGAAACUCAUCAAACACAUAAAAAUUAAAGCACGUAUUAUUAAAGAAACCAUGAGUCACAGAGGAAAACUUUUGAGAAAUUAAAAAAAUUGUGAACUGAAUGAAAAUUAAAAUGCAACACAUAAAAAAAUUAAAUGCAACACAUGAAUUAAAAUGCAACACAUAAAACUGUGUGGGAAGCAGCCAAAGCAGUGGCUUAGAGUAAAAUGUAUAGCACUGAAAGCUGACAUUACAUAAGAAUGGGCAAAAAUCAAUAAUUUAAGUUUUCACCUCAUUUUAGAAAAGUAAAAUUAGCAAUGUUAUUACCAUUAAAAUCAGCACACAAGCAUAAUUUUAAAUUAUUACUACUAAUUUUUUGUUCAAAAUUGUUUUUUCAUAUAACAUCCUGUAAACACAUAUCUAUGAACUCUGUGUAGACAUGCUUCCUUGGAUUUUACGGUUUGGCUUCUCAGAUUUCACUGCAUUCAUAUGAACUUCUGAGAAAUAGGACAGACCAGUUAACAGUUUUCUCAACUACAAAAAAGGAUUUUGAACAAUUUUUAGAGUCACUUAUUGAUAAAAUAAUAUAUAGGUAUGUCUUGUGA